rnacentral:misc_RNA from 1 species
UGGUUCUGGCAUCGAUGAAGAACGCAGCGAAAUGCGAUAAGUAAUGCGAAUUGCAGAAUUCCAGUGAGUCAUCGAAUCUUUGAACGCACAUUGCGCCCUUUGGCAUUCCGAAGGGCAUGCCUGUUCGAGCGUCAUUAUCACCCCUCAAGCCCCGUGCUUGGUGUUGGACGGCUUGGUCGCGGUGCACACCGCGCGACCCCUCCCAAAGACAAUGACGGCGGCCUGUGGCUCCCCCGGCACACUGAGCUUCUCACCGAGCACGUGUCGGAUCGCGGGCGUCCAGGUCCCGGUCGGCUCCCCCACUAGGGAAAUUUUAUCAAGGUUGACCUCGGAUCAGGUAGGAAUACGCGCUGA